UUGGAGGGCAAGUCUGGUGCCAGCAGCCGCGGUAAUUCCAGCUCCAAUAGCGUAUAUUAAAGUUGUUGCAGUUAAAAAGCUCGUAGUUGAAUUUCGGGAUCAGAUUGUCGGUCGUGCCUCGGUACGCACUGGCAUUAUUGGUUCCUACCUUCUGAAGAACCGCGAUGUCAUUAAUUUGGUGUCGUGGGGAAUCAGGACUGUUACUUUGAAAAAAUUAGAGUGUUUAAAGCAGGCUUACGCUUGAAUACAUUAGCAUGGAAUAAUGAAAUAGGACGUUUGAUUCUAUUUUGUUGGUUUCUAGGAUUGACGUAAUGAUUAAUAGGGAUAGUUGGGGGCAUUAGUAUUCAAUUGUCAGAGGUGAAAUUCUUGGAUUUAUUGAAGACUAACUACUGCGAAAGCAUUUGCCAAGGAUGUUUUCAUUAAUCAAGAACGAAAGUUAGGGGAUCGAAGACGACCAGAUACCGUCGUAGUCUUAACCAUAAACUAUGCCGACUAGGGAUCGGAUGAUGUUAAUUUUUUAAUGACUCAUUCGGCGCCUUACGGGAAAC
rnacentral:rRNA from 1 species